CAGGACCCCAGGACCAUGACCUGAGCCGAAGGCAGACGCCCAACUGACUGAGCCACCCAGGUGCCCCUAGGCUUUCCUUUUGACACAGUUUGACUACAUGGUAGCACUUUGACAUUGAUGUUUCACAAAAGCUUGUUCAGAGUCUCAGUUAUUUUUUAAAAUUCCUCUUUAGUAAUGUAUUCUUAAUAUAAAACACAUCCACACACACACACAUAAAGAAAAAAAGGGAUAAUGUUUCCUAGAGCAGACACAUGGGGGAAGAAUUCUUUGUUCAGUAUGAAGACUCAAAACCGUGUGUUUGCUUAAUAAGGCCUAAUUUUUUGCUAACUUGUUAAAAGCUCUUUUUUUCCUUCCAAUCUGUGGGACUGAUAGCUGUCGACUUGCUGGAGAAGAUGCUUGUAUUGGACUCAGACAAGAGAAUUACGGCAGCCCAAGCCCUCGCACAUGCCUAUUUUGCUCAGUACCAUGAUCCUGAUGAUGAACCAGUGGCUGAUCCUUACGAUCAGUCCUUUGAAAGCAGGGACCUCCUUAUAGAUGAAUGGAAAAGCCUGACCUACGAUGAAGUCAUCAGCUUUGUGCCACCACCCCUUGACCAAGAAGAGAUGGAAUCCUGAGCACCUGGUUUCUGUUUUGUUGAUCCCACUUCACUGUGAGGGGAAGGCCUUUCCAUGGGAACUCUCCAAAUAUCAUUCAAGUGCCUCUUGUUGCAGAGAUUUCCUCCAUAGUGGAAGGGGUGUGUGUACGUGUGUGCGUGCGCGUGUAUGUGUGUAUGUGUGUGCUUCUGUGCGUGUGCAUGUGUCUGUCUUUGUGGGAGGGAAACUAUGAUCACAGUGACUUUACGUGGAGUCACAGAAGCUGCGGGGCAGCCCCUGCUUGCUCGUUGUGAGAGUCAGCCCAGGCAGGCAAGAGCUACCAUCUUGUCAGGGUUUGUUACGUGCAAAAGAAAAAACUUUAAACAGCCCAGAUCCCAGUCAUGCUUUUGCCAUUUUGGCCUUUCCCACAGCCCUGCCUUGAGGUGGGGGGGUGUAGACCCACCUACAUCCUGUAGUGGCACAGAGAGAGGGCGCGCACCUUCUGGCUGCUUCGGAAGCCGUCCCUCAGCGACGGCGUGUGGCCAAAAAGGACCAACUGGCUUCUGUGCACUAGUCUGCGAUUGAUUUGCUUAGUAUGAUUCUCAGAACUCAGCAGGUAUGUCCGAAACUGUAAAUAUGCUUGUGCCUUAAGAGGAGAGAAGAAAGUGUAGAUAGUUGAGACAGCGCGGGAGAUGGCGUGCUGAGCCAGGCAAGCAGUCAGGCCGUCGGCCGGCCGCUGACGAACCGGAAGUAACCAGGGAGCCCUUGGCGCUGGCGUGUGUGCAUGUGUGCACAUGCGUGUGUGUGCUCCCCACCCCCGCUCGCCCCCCCACCUCCAGUGCAAAGGUUUCUUGCGUAGUAGCCCCAGCAGGCAGAAGCCGGUUCUUGCUGUCAGUGUACUUCCUGUGUGCUCUUUAUUCCCAGCAGAGUGACGAUGUGUUUUGCACGUCUUGCUAUUUGAGCAUGCACAGCUGCUUGUCUGUUCUCUUCGGGAGGCCCUGGUGCCAGGCAGGUUUGCCAGUGAAGACUCCUUGGGUAGUUCAGAGCCCACGGCACCUCGGCUGAUGCCACGGGCAGGUGACAUCAUCCUCUCUCCAGCCCCAGUGCUAUUUUGUGUUGAACACAAUUGAUACUCCAGGUGCUUUUGAUGUGAAAACUAUGAAGAAAUGGAACAGAUGGGUGUAUAGCAUUUUCAUUCUUGCCAUCUGGUUUUCGACAAACUAUUUUUGGGGAGCCAUCACGGGAAAGAUCAGGGCUUUUCCCGGGAAUAUCUCAGACUUUGAAAAACAGUUGUUCUCUUCACUCCCAAUAGCCAAUGCUAAGAAAUGCUGAAAAUCAAAGUGAACAAUAAAAGGUCAUGAGGCCAGAAACUCCUUUUGCUAUCUUCGUCUAAACAUGGUUAUUAAAAAAAGUAAUGAGGUGUCUUUUCCACCCUUCUUUGGAAAAGGGUCUUCUUGGCAGCUUAACAUUGACUUCUUGGUCUUGGUUUGGGGAGAGAGAAAUUUUGUUUCAGAAUUUUGUAUAUUGCAGGAAUCCUUUGAGAAUGUGAUUCCUUUUGAUGGGGAGAAAGGGCACAUUAUUCUGAUAUUUUGUAUUUUCAACUUUAUAAAGAUGAAAUAUCCUCAGGGGUGGAGAAGAGUUGUUUUCGUAAUUUUCUGAAUUGCAAACGUCUCGUGCCACAUAAGGGCCCAUGUAUUUAAACCUCUUGUGAAAUAAGAAAGUGUAAAGCCACUUCCACUCUUAGGUGUGUGACAAAAUCUUGUAUUUGGGACAAGGCAUAUCCAUUUCUCUAUCCCAGUGCAGUGGUACUUGCGCUCCAGAGGGAUGAGGUAGGACCCCUGAGUCAACUGGAGCAAGAAGGAAGGAGGCAGGCUGACUGUGAUUGCGCCUCACCUGGGAUUCCCCCCUGCUUUAAAGGAAAAUGAACGCAAAGGCCUCAUCUCCUUUAUAUGCAGUUCAGAUCCUCACGAUCCACAGCAAGAUGAAUUUUAUCAGCCAUGUUUGGUUGUAAAUGCUAGUGUGAUUUCCUACAGAAAUACUGCUCUGAAUAUUUUUUCAUAAAGGUCUUUGCACAUGGAAUUGUAUAUGCAUUAGGAGGCUGAAUGUUCCGGGAGCCUGGACUCAGCUGGAGCCCGUGGAAGAGCUCCUUGGUUUCUGAGCAUCAUGCUCCCAUCUCCUGAUUUCUCUGAACAGAAAGCAAAAGAGAGAAUGAGGGAAACUGCUAUUUUAUUUGUAUUCAUGAACUUGGCUGUAAUCAGUUAUGCCAUAUAGGAUGUCAUACAAUACCACUGGUUAAAAUAAAGCCUAUUUUUCAAAUUUA